rnacentral:tRNA from 1 species
GCCUUCGUGGUGAAGUGGUCAGUACGUUCCGCGCGUAUUCGAGAGGUCCGUGGUUCGAAUCCCGGCGAGGGCA